rnacentral:misc_RNA from 1 species
ACACCCUCAAGCUCACGCUUGGUGUUGGGCGUCUGUCCCGCUUCAUGCGUGGACUCGCCCCAAAGUCAUUGGCAGCGGUCGUGCCAGCUUCUCGCGCAGCACAUUUGCGUUUCUUGAAGUUUGGUGGAUCAGCAUCCAGUAAGCUCUUUUAUG